rnacentral:rRNA from 1 species
CGGUACGUGAGCUGGGUUCAGAACGUCGUGAGACAGUUCGGUCCCUAUCUGCCGUGGGUGUAGGAAUAUUGACAGGAUCUGUCCCUAGUACGAGAGGACCGGGAUGGACAUAUCUCUGGUGGACCUGUUGUCGUGCCAACGGCAUAGCAGGGUAGCUAUAUAUGGAAGGGAUAACCGCUGAAGGCAUCUAAGCGGGAAACCCACCUGAAAACGAGUAUUCCCUAUCAGGGCCGUGGAAGACGACCACGUUGAUAGGAGGCGUGUGGACGUGCAGUAAUGCAUGAAGCUUAGCCUUACUAAUAGCCCGAUUGGCUUCAUCGU